GGAUGAGGGGAGAGAAUGCAGGUCCGGGUGCCAUACUGUGUGCUUCAUGAAACAGGCCCUCGGGGCGGAGCCCUUAUGAAACCCGGAACGUGCAAGGCCCCGUCUUAUUGGGAAAGACACGGCGGCCCGCCAGCCCGAAAUGUCUCCUCAGACCAGAUCGAGCAGCUCCACCGGAGGUUUAAGCAGCUGAGUGGAGACCAGCCCACCAUUCGCAAAGAGAACUUCAACAAUGUUCCUGACCUGGAGCUCAACCCGAUCCGCUCCAAAAUCGUCCGUGCCUUCUUCGACAACAGGAACCUGCGCAAGGGAUCCAGUGGCCUGGCCGACGAGAUCAACUUUGAGGACUUCCUGACCAUCAUGUCCUACUUCCGGCCCAUCGACACCACCAUGGACGAGGAGCAGGUGCAGCUGUGCCGGAAGGAGAAGCUGAGAUUUCUAUUCCACAUGUAUGACUCGGACAGCGACGGCCGCAUCACCCUGGAGGAAUAUCGAAAUGUGGUAGAGGAGCUGCUGUCGGGAAACCCGCACAUCGAGAAGGAGUCGGCCCGCUCCAUCGCCGACGGGGCCAUGAUGGAGGCGGCCAGCGUGUGCGUGGGGCAGAUGGUGGUACAGGAGCUGCUUCUGUCUUCGGGGGAGCCGGAGGGGGUAGAGUCUGAGGAGGAGAAGAGCUACGGAGGAAGGGAAGGAGAUGACCCACCCGCGAACUCAGAACCUGCAAAGAAGCUUCCUCAAAAGAGCCAACAGGGAUCCAGGGGUCAUGGAAUUUGGCCUGGAUGGGAUCAUCCUUUGUGGUCCUCACACGGACUCAGGUGCCGUGCAUGGUCUACGGGUAAAGAGGCCCCAAACUACAUACGCGUAUUGGAUCACGCUUGUAAAUUCUGCCAAGUAAAUCCUCGGAGUCCUUCUUGAUCACUCGCUCUGGGAAUGGACUUUCCCUUCGUGGUCCUCUCAGUUUCUGCUUUGCUGUUUUGAAGGGACAUCGGGCGGUUGCUGCUGCACAGUCUCCAUCCUUUGUAAGGUGACCACUUGGCCUCCCCCUCCCUCGGAAAUGGAGGCUGUUUAUCAUACUCGUGCCCCCCCCCCCCAGGUGUUGCCCUGCUGUAGCGCCGUGGUUUAGGGUAGCGGUUUCUCGGCCAGCUCUUCCUCUUCCAUCCUGCGUGGAGGAUGGCUGUUUAUGCAACACACAUGUAGAAAAUAAUCUACUUUGUAUCACAGGUUGUGGACAAAAGAGCAGACCACAAAGUCCUUAAUGCAAUUGUAUAAAUAUAUAAUUAUGAAUCAUGGUUAAGAACUAGGAGGAAACAGGCCUGUGAUCCCAAGUCUACACCGGGUGGUGGCAUCACAGACCAGCCCGAGUGAGUAUGUGCUCUCGGGUCCAGGGGAGGUGGGGCCGUGUCAGCUCAGGCACCUCCCCUCCCCCUGUCCCUGGAGAAAGGGCUUGAAGACCGGAACGAUGGCGGCAGCAGGUGAGCAGGGCCCUGGACUGUAGUGUAAAGACGUGGGGGGAGGUCCACACGGUAUCCGGACAGAGGGGCCCGGAUGGGGCCAGGGUGGACAUGGAGGGGUGGGGGGAGGAGGUGCAGCGUGAGUGGUAAGAAAGCCCCAGAGGAGGACCAGAGCACCCAGAAAACAGACAAGACAAGCCGCGACAGGCUCCCGCUUUCCACAGGCAGCUACAGAAAAACGAAUAGGCAGCGGAGGAAGGCAAAGGCAGCCGAGGCAUGUGUGGGGUCAGACGAGUGCACCCGGGGGUCGUGUUCUUCCCCCCAGGAGUUUCCAAAUCCGGCAGGCAUGGUUCUUCCCGCUUUUCUCCCCGCUCCGCAGGGAGGCUCGCGCCUAACUCCGGUCCUGGGGGAAGGCGAGCGCGAGGGCAUAGCCGUGGCCGGCCGUGGGGUCCGCGGACGAACGGCAGACGGGCAGCGUGCUCUGCAAGGCCAGCCGGUCCACCGCAAACUCGUAGGCGUGGAUCAGCCCGCGGUGCCUGGAGGAAGCACAGACAGCAUGCGUCGGGACGGUCCCCGUGAACGCUCCCGUCCUUCGGGCCGACAGCGUGGCAGACACGCAGUCCCGGGACUGGAGACAGGUGAGCCACCGCGUCUGACGGAGGGGAGGCCAGCAGUCACCCGAGCCACCUGCACAGGGGUCUCUCCCUCGUUGGGAACGGAGUCCCCCAGCAGAUGGAGCAGGAGGAGGGGGCUUUGCCACCGUCACCGGGAGCGUAACCACGGCGGGAGCAUCGCGAUGCGCACACUUUGCUGCGCGGCCGCGUAAGUUCACAGCUUCUGUGAAAACAAUGGCCGUACCUGACGGGGUACGAGGUGACCCAGGGGUCCUAGUAACACAGUCAAGCCAAGAUGCUGUGUUCUAAGCCCCGACAAAGCCAGCCCCACGCACUGACCUCCUGUGGGCCGUGAAGUCCAGGUCAGUGUUGCGCACCACCCUCUCGUAGGGCACGUUGGCCGUGAUGAGGCUGUGGCUGUUGAAGGACAGGUGGCGGACGGGGUGCCUGGAACACAACGGAGAGCGCCUGGUAAAGGGAAGCCCCCCCAAACUGGGCCCCCUCUACGUUCGGAAGUUUAGAGUACAGGGGCUCUAGAACCCUCUACCAAGCUUCUCAUGAACAGGGGAGGAACCCGGGCCCCCAACAGGGGCAGAGACUUGCCUUGGUUCUAUACUCUGCGCACUGCUGUUAACAAGUCCGGGUGCCCCCUAUGUCUCCUGGCCGGCCACCCAACUUGGUAUGUUUUGACGUGAAGAAUUUUAGCAGCACGUGGUAGAAAACAGCCCCAUUUCUGGCUGGCCAGCCCUGGACAGGUUCGCCAGGCUCCCCCGCUGCAGGGUGUGGGGCUGAUCCAUCAAAGGCCCCCUCCUCCUACGUUUGAGAGGGCUACAACUGAUAGUUGGACUCUGUGCUCUUGUGCUGCAAAAUUUUGCAACAAACAGUAGCUUGAAACCGACGGGUGGAGAAAAGGCUUUUGUUCAUUCUAAACACUUCUAUCCAGUGCCUUGGUCACAGCUCCAAGCCAGGAGCCACAGGAUGUAAAGGAUGUCCAAUGCAAUCGGGAACCUGCUAUCAGAGGUUUCCUAACUAGCUAAGAAUGUAAGAGUGCAUUCCCCCAAAAUGAAACCAAGGUUUCUAGAGCAUGAAAGAUGUCACAAGCCCCAAGGAUGGGACACAGGCUUCAGCACUGAGCCCAUCAGCCAGGCCCUUGCAGAAAGGCAGAGAUGAGGGAAACUCUGUGCAGGCCGAGCAGGGGCUGGCUUCUUGGCCGGAACAGAGCAUUCUCUCCUUGGUAUCGAAAGUCCGGGGGAAUCUGAACCUGGCCCCGCCAGUCCAGGAUUCAGGGCACCAACCAGAAGUAAGCAUGUCUGGGAGACUUCACUAGGGGCCCGGCGAGGUGUGGCCAAGGGAGAGCAGGCUGAGUGUGGAGGGAGAGGCUCUGCUGUACCGCGGGGCCGGACCAGAGGCUCGAGAGGACCCAGAAGGGCUGCACGCAAGGCAGGCGAGGACCUGGUGAGCACACGAGCUCCAGGUAGGACACUGAAGAGUGAGGCCCAGCCCUUCACUGGUGGACAUGGGGACCUUGCCAGGUGGCCCAAGCCACUAACUGGCGGCAAGGACUGCUUGUACACUUACAAGUGAGUUAGGGAGGCAAGUGCCGGGACAGGACACGGCGGGGGAAGACCUCACUGACUGUGGCUUCGCUUGAAUGAUACGUCAAAGGGAACACAGCUCUUCCGGGAGAGAAAACGAGAUUUUGCUGGAGUCCAGCCCUAGUGAACAGGUGGCGCUGCUGCUGGAAAGCGGGACGGGAGGGUGGCAGCCCCCCAGGGCCCCAGCUGCAGUGAGCUGUGCUAGUAGGAGAGGCUGCCCCAGCUCGUCCAAGCAAUAAAAGGGCUUCCUCCUUCUAAGGUGCCACCAUGGAGGACGUUUAGUUGCCUUUCGGCACCACCUGGUGGCAACUCUUCGUAUCACCACAGAAAGCAGGAAAAGGGCUUUUGCACCUGUUUGCUGAGUAAGACAGGGCUGGACAGAGCCAGACGGUGUAGUCUGAUAGAAGCUGCCGGAGGGAGCAAGCACUAGCCACCCCCCUCUUUUAAGAAGCAGCCAAUUCCUGUUUUAACCUUGCCACCGCUGGUACCGGGCCUGGACUGUACUGCCUUCUCUUACUAGGACUUGAAAUUUCUAUUUGUGGGCUCAGCGUCUGUGUGUUUCUUCCUCUUCUUCUCCCAAUCCACGUCGCAGAAUGUGCCUUCACAGUGGUGCUGUGCCAGCUGGGAAGAAGGCUCUCCUCUUUCCCUGCCCCCAACUGGUGGCAUGUAGGGCCAGGUGGCUGUGGCAGGGUAAGGGGGGAGGGAGAGCCCCUUCCCCAGGCAAGAGGGGGACGGCCUCAAGUCAGCUCCAGGCACGGCUGCCUCUACCUGUUAGGCAUCCUUAACGUUAUCUGCCUACAUCCGUGAGGCCCCCCACCUACACUUGGGAUAAUGAAAGACCACACUGCUCCCUCCUUAGCUGAAGCCUGACUACUUGCAGUCCUAGGGCCCUUCUAAACAGUGGAAAGCAAGUCCAAGAAAUGGACAAUCAAGGUCCCGCAUGUUGGGACUCCAGAGUGGAGGAUGCGGUUGGGGACUCCCAGCAGGCCUUGCCUACCCUGGCUGGGUGUAAGUCACGGCAGCUUUAACGGCGUGAGUAGAACUACCUCUCCAGUGACCAGCGCCGUCUCUGGGUCUCAGGUUCCUCGCCUGAGAAAUGGAGAGAGGAACUGACCGCAGCCAGCUCCUCGGUUAUGCUGAGGAUGGUGUGGUGACACAAGGAAAUGGCUCAGAGGCGGCCUGCUACCCCUACGGCUCCUGUUCCGUUCAGUUACCUGGAAUGCACCUCCCACAGCUUCUGGUUCAUCCGAUAGUCCCACACCGAGACCAGGCCUUCUUCGCCUCCACUGACGAUUUUCCAGUCGUCCAUCUGCACUGCAGAGACGCCCAGUUGGUGGGCGGAGAGCGACAGGGCGAUUUUGUCAGUGCGGAAGUCAUGGAUCCUCACCCUGGAAGGCCCGAGAGAAGCACAGGGAAGAGAAAUGGGAUUCGUGUUAAGGCCCGAAAUGACAGGUUCAUCCUUGGUUGUGCUGGUCGAUGCCCAACAAUCUUGUGCCAGAACGUUUAAAAAGAAAAGAAAAACCGUUGUGUGCCAACAUCUUCAUACUGAUAUAGAACUUUUACCUCCUUAUUAGUACGUGGUCAUAGGAUGCUAGGGUGCGACAGAAAUGAACGAGUUUACAGUACCCACAACUGUCCAAUCAGAAUGAUUUAAAAGCCCCCGGAACAAGAUAGACUCAAGACAACUAUAUCAGCUGACCCGUCACACAUGCUUUCUCUGCUCAACAGGGAAGACACCUGCCCUGAGCGGGAGUCCACACACAGGAAAGCUCAACUCUGACCACACCGGACUGAGGAGGCUGACCCAGUGAAAAGGACUCCAAAUCUGCUACCUGUGGAUCUCUCGAAAAGGGAUGUGGCAAAAUACUGGAAGGACUGUGAGGGGAGCACCCAGAGGGACGCAUGAAACACUCCAGCGUGGCUCGAGAAGAUGGCUUUGCGAAGUCACAGACUGCAUGUGGGAAGAACCCACCUAGGAGCAAGAAGGGCUCCUAAUGGAUCACCAGGUACCUACAACUCAGUAUGUGCUACGAAUGGGAGGUGGACUGCAGCAUGAAAAGCUUUAUAAUGAUGGAGACAGUUUAGUAAGUGUCUGAUAAAAUUUGCCUGGACAGGAAAAACCUACACGGACCUAAUUUUUUUUUGGAGAUUUUUUUUUUUUUUAAAUAAUGGUUUCUUCAGUCACUAUGUACUCAGGUUUGAGCCGAUUUUCUUCAAUCUCCUGGGAAUUACCCAAACUGACCCCUGAGGAUAGAAAAAGUAACAAUGAGCCGACGGGGAAAGCUCUCAAGGGAGCCAACCGUCCCUGGAACAAGCGAGCAACACAGGCACACCCUGGAGGGAAGGCCCCCUGGGGCCGCGCACCCGGCUCCCCAGCACAAGAAGGAGCAAACCGCUUCCCCGAUCUUGAUGUGAGGCCGGCAUCCUGUCAUCACCCAGACCCUGCCGAUCGGCCCAGUGUGAGAGGCGGCACUGGGUCUGGGUCAACGCCAGACCUCAAGACAGUACGGCAGGGUCCAGAGCCAUGUGCUACCCACGAGCAGAACCUGUCGGGGAAUCUACUGCAGUUCACCACGUGACCGCAACGAAUGGGGAAAGCCACACGGUCGUUUCCACAAAUGCUGAAAAGAAAUUCGAGGAGACAGAACACUUCCUUCUAACGAAGGCUUUAAAAAACGAUGAUCCGUUUUUACCAAUACUUCACAUUGUUUAAAAACAGACACAAUUAGGGGCACUUGGGUGGCUCAGGUCACGAUCCCGAGGUUCGUGAGUUUGAGCCCCGCGUCAGGCUCUCUGCCGGAGCCUGCUGGGACCCUCCGUCCCCCUCCCCCACUUGCACCCUCUCAAAAAUAAACAUUAAAAAAAAAAACAAAAACAACCAGACACGAUUAGAUAAAAGACAAAAUGAGAAGGGGACAAAUUAGAGAUGACAGCCAAAGAUAAUUCAGUAAUAACUCAGAAUCAAAUGAAAUUAAUACGUCAAAAUCAAUAGCUGUCUUAAAACCAACCACUGGUUUUAAAAAUGUAAUCAAAGAAAAGAUCCCACUUAAGAGAGCAAUUAACUCUCUCAACUUGGAUCUCUACCGUAUACACUGCAUCAAAAUAAAUUACAGGUGGCUCAAAGAGUUCAACAUAAUUAACGGCCAAGAAUAUUCAGAAUAGGGAAGGCCCUUCUAAACACAUAAACCCAGAAGUCAAAAAUAUUGAUAAAAGUAUUGAAAUUUUUCCCACGGAGGGGGGAAAAAUCAAAGUCGAGGCAAAUGAUAAACUGGGGAAAAUGUAUGCAUCAGAGAGGAAUGGCUAAUUUCUUGUAAAAAAAAAAAAAAAUUCCUUCAAAUUGAAAAUAAAGAUGGGCAACCUGAAAUUAAAAUAAAAGCUAAGAAAAAACAGGAAA